rnacentral:lncRNA from 1 species
CUGACACACCUGGACUUGUGGAAAUCUCUUCCUCAUCCUCUUGAGAUUUUAUCUGAGGCUUUAUUGUUACAGGUGGUGUUUUUGGCCGUAUUGUUUCUGUCAGUUGAUUAUCCUCUUCUCUGCCUUUGUUCUCUUCUUUUCCUACUGCUUGCUGUUGAGCAGCAAGUGCGGUGAGUUGUGCAGACUGUUUAAUUAGGGAUACUCUGUAGAAAUAAUUUCUCCAGAACACCUCCUCCUUUACACUAGAGAGAACAAACAGAUACU